rnacentral:lncRNA from 1 species
UUACUUUUCACAUCCUCAGUGAGUUCACUGAUGUUUGCAUCAGUGCUUUCGGUUAUUGCUUCUGUUUCUUUGGCUUCAGCGUCCUUCACCUCUUCUGCCGGCAGGUCACUUGCUGAUAUGUUUUCUUCCACUUCAACAGGUUCAGUAUUCUUGAUUUCUUCUAGUUCUGGAUCUUGUGCUUGUGGUAUGUCAACUGUUGCCUCAGUUGCUAUCACAUGCUCUUCAGGAUCUGCCUCGUCAACAUUAGUUUUGACAUCCUCAGUGAGCUCACUGAUGUUCUCAUCAGUGCUCUCAUUGAUUGCUUCAGAGUUCUUCACCUCUUCUGUCUGCAUGUCACUUGCUGACAUGUUUUCUUCCACCUCAACAGGUUCAGUAUUCUUGAUCUCUUCUAGUUCCAGCUCCUGUGCUUGUGGUAUGUUAACUGUUGCCUCAGUUGCUAUUACAUGUUCUUCAGGAGCUGCCUCGUCUGCAAGCGCAACAUUAGUUUUGACAUCCUCACUGAGCUCACUGAUGUUCGCAUCAGUGCUCUCGUUGAUUGCUUCAGUGUCCUUCACCUCUUCUGCCUGCAUGUCACUUGCUGACAUCUUUUCUUCCACUUCAACAGGUUCAGUAUUCUUUAUCUCUUCUACUUCUGGCUCUUGUACUUGUGGCAUAUCAACUGUAUCAUCAGCUACUGUUAUAUGUUCUUCAGGAGCUGCCUCAUCUGCAAGAGCAACAUUGUUUUUCACAUCUUCAGUGAGCUCAGUGUUGUUUGCAUCAGUGUUCUCAUUGAUUGCUUCAGUCUCUAUGGCUUCAGUAUCCUUCACCUCUUCUGCUGGCAGAUAAUUUGCUGAUAUGUUUUCUUCCACUUCAGCAGGCUCAGUACUCUUGGUCUCUUCUAGUUCUGGCCCUUGUGCUUCUGGUAUGUCAACUGUUGCCUCAGUUGCUAUUACAUGCUCUUCAGGAGCUGCCUCGUCUGCAGGAACAACAUUGCUUGUCACAUCCUCAGGUAGCUCACUGGUGUUUGCAACAGUUCUCUCGUUGAUUGCUUCAGUUUCCUUCACCUCUUCUGCUUGCAGGUCACUUGCUGAUCUAUUUUCUUCCACCUCAACAGGUUCAGUAUUCUCGAUCUCUUCUAGUUCCGGCUCCUGUGCUUGUGGUAUGUCAACUGUUCUCUCAGUUACUGUUACCUGCUCUGCAUGAGGUUCCUCGUCUGCAAGUGCAACAUUGCUUUUCACAUCCUCAUUGAGCUCGCUGAUGUUUGCAUCAGUCCUUUCGCUGAUUGCUUCAGUUUCCUUGGGUUCAAUUUCCUUGACCUCUUCUGCUGACAGGUCACCUGCUUCAGUAUUCUUGAUCUUUUCUAGCUCCGGCUCUUGUGCUUGUGGUAUAUCGGCUGUUGUCUCGGCUACUGUUACAUGUUCUUCAUGAGCUGCCUCAUCUAUAAGAGCAACGUUGCUUUUCAUAUCUUCAGUAAGCUCACUGAUGUUUGCAUCACUGCUCUCGUUGAUUGCAUCAGUUUCCUUGGCUUCAGUGUCCUUCACCUCUUCUGCCAGCAUGUCAUUAGCUGAUGCGUUUUCUUCCACCUCAACAGGUUCAACAUUCUCAAUCUCUUCUAGGUCUGGCUCUUGUGCUCGUGGAAUAUCAACUGUUGCCUCAGUUGCUGUUACAUGCUCUUCAGGAGCUGCCUCGUCUGCAGGAGUAACAUUGCUUGUCACAUUCCCGGUGAGCUCGCUGAUGUUUGCAUCAGUGCUCUCGUUAAUUGCUUCAGUUUCCUUGGCUUCAAUUUCCUUCACCUCUUCUGCUGGCAGGUCACCUGUUGAUCUGUUUUCUUCUACCUCGUCAGGUUCAACAUUCUCGAGCUCUUGUAGUUCUGACACUUGUGCUUGUGGUAUAUCAACUGCUGCCUCAGCUGCUGUUACAUGCUCUUCUGGAGCUGCCUCAUCUGCACGAGUAACAGUACUUUUCACAUCCUCAGUGAGUUCACUGAUGUUUGCAUCAGUGCUCUCAGUUAUUGCUUCUGUUUCUUUGGCUUCAGCGUCCUUCACCUCUUCUGCCGGCAGGUCACUUGCUGAUAUGUUUUCUUCCACUUCAACAGUUUCAGUAUUCUUGAUUUCUUCUAGUUCUGGAUCUUGUGCUUGCGGUAUGUCAACUGUUGCCUCAGUUGCUAUCACAUGUUCUUCAGGAGCUGCCUCGUCUGCAAGAGCAACAUCAGUUUUGACAUCCUCAGUGAGCUCACUGAUGUUCGCAUCAGUGCUCUCAUUGAUUGCUUCAGUAGGUUUCACCUCUUCUGCCUGCAUGUCACUUGCUGACAUGUUUUCUUCCACCUCAACAGGUUCAGUAUUCUUGAUCUCUUCUAGUUCCAGCUCCUGUGGUUGUGGUAUAUCAACUGCUGUCUCAGCUACUGUUACAUGCUCUUCAUGAGGUUCCUCGUCUGCAAGAGCAACAUUGCAUUUCACCUCCUCUGUGAGCUCACUGAUGUUUGCAUCAGCACUCUCGUUGAUUUCUUCAGUGUCCUUCACCUCUUCUGCUGGCAGGUCACUUGCUGAUAUGUUUUCUUCCACUUCAACAGGUUCAGUAUUCUUCAUCUCUUCUACUUCUGGCUCUUGUGCUUGUGGCAUAUCAAAUGUAUCAUCAGCUACUGUUACAUGUUCUUC